rnacentral:rRNA from 1 species
AUACGGAGGGUCCGAGCGUUAUCCGGAAUCAUUGGGUUUAAAGGGUCCGUAGGCGGGGAUCUAAGUCAGUGGUGAAAUCUUGCAGCUCAACUGUAAAAUUGCCAUUGAUACUGGAUUUCUUGAAUUAGUGUGAAGUGAUUAGAAUGUGUAGUGUAGCGGUGAAAUGCAUAGAUAUUACACAGAAUACCAAUUGCGAAGGCAGAUCACUAACACUAUAUUGACGCUGAGGGACGAAAGCGUGGGGAGCGAACAGGAUUAGAUACCCCAGUAGUCC